CCUACGGGUGGCAGCAGUGAGGAAUAUUGGUCAAUGGGCGAGAGCCUGAACCAGCCAAGUCGCGUGAGGGAAGACGGUCCUAUGGAUUGUAAACCUCUUUUGUCGGGGAGCAAAAAGGCCUCGUGAGGCCACAAGUGAGAGUACCCGAAGAAAAAGCAUCGGCUAACUCCGUCCCAGCCGCCGCGGUAAUACGGGGUAUGCGAGGUGUAUUGGGAUUUAUUGGGGUUAGAGGGUGCAUAGGCGGACUGGACAGUCAGCGGUAAAACCGAGGGGCUAAACCGUUUUCCGCCGUUGAAACUGUCGGGCUUGAGUGGGGGAGAGGUAGGCGGAAUGCGUGGUGUAGCGGUGAAAUGCAUAGAUAUCACGCAGAACACCGAUUGCGAAGGCAGCAUACUGGCGCCCGACUGACGCUGAGGCACGAAAGCGUGGGUAUCGAACAGGAUUAGAUACCCGGGUAGUC
rnacentral:rRNA from 1 species